AUUGAACGCUGGCGGCAUGCCUUACACAUGCAAGUCGAACGGGCUUUGGGGCUUGCUCCAAAGUUAGUGGCGAACGGGUGAGUAAUAUAUCGGAACGUACCCUAGAGUGGGGGAUAACUAGUCGAAAGACUGGCUAAUACCGCAUACGAUCUAAGGAUGAAAGUGGGGGACCGCAAGGCCUCAUGCUCAUGGAGCGGGCGAUAUCUGAUUAGCUAGUUGGUAGGGUAAAAGCCUACCAAGGCGACGAUCAGUAGCUGGUCUGAGAGGACGAUCAGCCACACUGGGACUGAGACACGGCCAAGAGUCCUACGGGAGGAAGCAGGGGGGAAUUUUGGAAAAUGGGGGAAACCCUGAUCCAGAAAUGCCGCGUGAGUGAAGAAGGCCUCCGGGUUGUAAAGCUCUUUUGUCAGGGAAGAAACGGUGGGGGCUAAUAUCCUCUGCUAAUGACGGUACCUGAAGAAUAAGCACCGGCUAACUACGUGCCAGCCGCCGCCGUAA
rnacentral:rRNA from 1 species